rnacentral:rRNA from 1 species
AAGCGGUGGAGCAUGUGGCUUAAUUCGAGGCAACGCGAAGAACCUUAUCCUGGACUUGACAUGCUGGGAUUAGCUCUGUGAAAGCAGAGUGACGCCUUCGGGUGGAACCAGCACAGGUGCUGCAUGGCUGUCGUCAGCUCGUGCCGUGAGGUGUCGGGUUAAGUCCUUAAACGAGCGAAACCCCUAUCGUCAGUUGCCAGCAUUCAGUUGGGGACUCUGACGAGACCGCCGGUGUUAAACCGGAGGAAGGCGGGGACG